AAGAAGAAGAAGAAGAAGAAGAAGAAUUAGAAUUGUGGGUAAUCCACUGCGCUAUUGAGGAUUUGCCAUGAGCCACUGCAGGCUAAGAUUGAACUUACUUCGAGGACUUUUCCCGCACACAGGACUGAGGCCAAGAUUGAACUCACCUCGAGGACCUCCCCCUGCACGGUGAACAGCCCAGCCACAUCUGUACAGCUGCUCAGGGGGGUCAGAGGAGGUGGGGGGCAGAAGAGGCUCUCCGCUUGGAAAAAUAGGAGAGAUCCGGCGACAGCGAGAGAGCGAGAAGGCUGGAGCCGGCUGUGUUUUGGGUGUGAAACAAUAAAAAAACAAAACAAUAAUGGACCAGACUCCCUCAUGCUCGUCUUUCCAAGACCCCCCCAGAGGAACAACCUGUUACAGUUCAGGUAUUUUAAUUAUUACAUUUAUGAGGAAAAAAACACUUCUCUCAGCUUUUGAAAUAUUUUUAUUUGACAGAACGGAUCAAUCCAACAAUAAAAUAACAAAAUAAACAGAGUAAAAAAAACUCAAAUGCAUUACAGAACGUUCAGGAACAAAGAACGUAUGAAACAAAC
ensembl:lncRNA